rnacentral:lncRNA from 1 species
AGGCACUGAAUGUCUAUCAAGUAUUUACCACGGUCAAGUUCCGAUGGAGUGGGUACAUUGGUGUCAACCACAGGGCAAGUUGUUGGAUCCCUCAGGAAGUGGCUGGAGCUGAAACAAUGCUGUAAGCUCAUUUCCAGAAGAAAAGUCUUUAUGAAAUUAAGAAUCAAAAAGUGAUGUCAAGGACACUCAUUCGACAGGAUACCCAGGACCACUCAAGAGUCAUUACACCAUGAGGAAAGCAGCAUUGUAUACCAGUGCCAGCUAUAUGAAGGGAGAAUCAAAGGUGAUUAAGAUGCAGAUUCCAUCUUCAAGGAAUUAUGAUUUGAUGAGUAAGCUGAGGCCGUUCACCCACGUCAAUCUGGAAUUACUACUUCCUGUUAACACGUAACAGCCAACUACUGCAAGCUUCCCAAUAAAGGGGUAAUCUCCUCGUGGGAGGGGAGUCCCAGCCUUUAUCUCAAGAUGCCCUUUUGAGUAGUUUUGCUACCAACUUGCUGUUUUCAAGCAUUGACCACCAUUAAAAACCAAAAGCACACAUGGAAAAAAAACC